rnacentral:rRNA from 1 species
AUUGAACGCUGGCGGCAGGCCUAACACAUGCAAGUCGAGCGGAUGAAGGGAGCUUGCUCCUGGAUUCAGCGGCGGACGGGUGAGUAAUGCCUAGGAAUCUGCCUGGUAGUGGGGGAUAACGUCCGGAAACGGGCGCUAAUACCGCAUACGUCCUGAGGGAGAAAGUGGGGGAUCUUCGGACCUUACGCUAUCAGAUGAGCCUAGGUCGGAUUAGCUAGUUGGUGGGGUAAAGGCCUACCAAGGCGACGAUCCGUAACUGGUCUGAGAGGAUGAUCAGUCACACUGGAACUGAGACACGGUCCAGACUCCUACGGGAGGCAGCAGUGGGGAAUAUUGGACAAUGGGCGAAAGCCUGAUCCAGCCAUGCCGCGUGUGUGAAGAAGGUCUUCGGAUUGUAAAGCACUUUAAGUUGGGAGGAAGGGCAGUAAGUUAAUACCUUGCUGUUUUGACGGUACCAACAGAAUAAGCACCGGCUAACUUCGUG